GACGGGGGAUGCAAGCGUUAUCCGGACUCACUGGGCGUAAAGCGUCUGUAGGUGGUGAUGCAAGUCACUGGUGCAAAACUCUGGCUCAACCGGAGGAAAGCCAGUGAAACUGCAUGACUAGAGUGUGGGAGAGGUAGAAGGAAUUCCCUGAGUAGCGGUGAAAUGCGUAGAUACAGGGAAGAACACCGGAGGCGAAAGCGUUCUACUGGAACACAACUGACCCUGAGAGACGAAAUCUAGGGGAGCGAAUGGG
rnacentral:rRNA from 1 species